rnacentral:sRNA from 1 species
AGAAGGUGAUUGGCCUGUGAGUUCUGGCCUUCCAGUCCAUGAAUUUCUGGGGCUUAUUUAGUGCCUUGCAAGCUCCAUUGAUGUCCCCUUCCUUUCCUGCACUGUCUUCAGUCCUUCUGACUCUAUGCUCUCAGUCCAAGAGGAGGAUCUUUCAAAUAGAGGCGGACCAUUCUCUGCUCACAGAUAUACGAGGAGCAGUGCUCUCCUGUUAAACACUAAAACAGGUAUUUUCAAGGUAAAAUGCAUCAAAUACACACUAAAUUUAAGGUAACAAGGUUCCUUU